CCUACGGGUGGCAGCAGUGGGGAAUAUUGCGCAAUGGGGGAAACCCUGACGCAGCAACGCCGCGUGAGUGAAGACGUAUCUCGGUGUGUAAAGCUCUAUCAGCGGGGAAGAAGGAAGACGGUACCCGACUAAGAAGCCCCGGCUAACUACGUGCCAGCAGCCGCGGUAAUACGUAGGGGGCAAGCGUUAUCCGGAUUUACUGGGUGUAAAGGGAGCGUAGACGGCGUCGCAAGUCUGAAGUGAAAGCCCGUGGCUCAACCGCGGAACCGCUUUGGAAACUGCGUGGGUGGAGUGCCGGAGAGGUAAGCGGAAUUUCUGGUGUAGCGGUGAAAUGCGGAGAUAACAGGAGGAACACCGGUGGCGAAGGGGGGUUAAUGGACAGUGACUGACGUUGAGGGUCGGAAGCGUGGGGGGCGAACAGGAAUAGAUACCCGAGUAGUC
rnacentral:rRNA from 1 species